UGAGGUCCAGAAGUGUCUUGGGAAUCCUUCUUAUACACCUUUUCCCAUUUCCUAAAUCCAGGCCAAGAUUCCAGCCCGUAAAGGGGGGAGGGAAGUCUAACUGCCAUGGAACAAAAUGACAGCCACAGGAAGUAACAAAAUGAUGUUGCCAGAGAUUAGAGGUAAUGAAGUUUCACAAAACAGAGCUGGAACUGCCUAUGAAUAAUCUGAAGAAGGAGAAGCUGCCCAUCUAGGACCAGAUAGUGAACCUGGAGCUGGAGAAGCGGAGCAGCAGGAGCAGCAGAGGAAAUAUCCUUCUCUGACUCCUGUUGCAGAAAAAAAGAGGACAGAGAUGAGGCCCUGGUUCCCCAGAUGCUUACAUGAAUGCAAAAUCAACUUGGCUGAUUAAUAAAGGGUCUUUAUUACUGGUACAA